GGAAGCCCACCUCAAGAUGAGUGCUCUCC
rnacentral:rRNA from 1 species